AUUGAACGCUGGCGGCAUGCCUUACACAUGCAAGUCGAACGGCAGCACGGGAGCAAUCCUGGUGGCGAGUGGCGAACGGGUGAGUAAAGUAUCGGAACGUGCCCAGUCGUGGGGGAUAACGUAGCGAAAGUUACGCUAAUACCGCAUACGAUCUAUGGAUGAAAGCGGGGGAUCGCAAGACCUCGCGCGAUUGGAGCGGCCGAUAUCAGAUUAGGUAGUUGGUGGGGUAAAGGCUCACCAAGCCGACGAUCUGUAGCUGGUCUGAGAGGACGACCGGCCACACUGGGACUGCGACACGGCCCAGAAUCCUACGGGAGGCAGCAGUGGGGAAUUUUGGACAAUGGGCGAAAGCCUGAUCCAGCAAUGCCGCGUGCAGGAUGAAGUCCUUCGGGUUGUAAACUGCUUUUGUACGGAACGAAAAGGUUUGGCCUAAUAAGCUGAGCUCAUGACGGUACCGUAAGAAUAAGCACCGGCUAACUACGUGCCAGCAGCCGCCGUAAUAC
rnacentral:rRNA from 1 species